rnacentral:rRNA from 1 species
AAUGAACGUUGGCGGCGUGGAUUAGGCAUGCAAGUCGAGCGAGAACCCGCAAGGGGGACAGCGGCAAACGGGGUAGUAAUGUGUCGGAACGUGCCCUCUGGACGGGGAUAAGCGGCGGGAAACUGCCGGUAAUACCCGAUGAACUCGAGAGAGCAAAGGUGUGAUUCCGCCGGAGGAGCGGCCGACAUGGUAUUAGCUAGUUGGCGGGGUAACGGCCCACCAAGGCUGUGAUGCCUAGGGGAUGUGAGAGCAUGAUCCCCACCAUUGGGACUGAGACACUGCCCAGACACCUACGGGUGGCUGCAGUCGAGAAUCUUCGUCAAUGGGCGAAAGCCUGAACGAGCGACGCCGCGUGCGGGAUGAAGCCCUUGGGUGUAAACCGCUGUCGAGGGGGAUGAAGGCUUGAAGGUACUCCUUCAAGUUUGACAGAGCCC